AUUGAACGCUGGCGGCGUGCCUAACACAUGCAAGUCGAGCGGUAACAGGUGUAGCAAUACAUGCUGACGAGCGGCGAACGGGUGAGUAAUGCUUUGGAAUCUUCCCAGUAGUGGGGAAUAACCAGUCGAAAGAUUGGCUAAUACCGCAUACGUCUGUAAAGGGAAAGCGGGGGCUCGUAAGACCUCGCGCUAUUGGAUGAGCCAAAGUCGGAUUAGCUAGUUGGUGGGGUAAUGGCCUACCAAGGCGACAAUCCGUAGCUGGUCUGAGAGGACGACCAGCCACAC
rnacentral:rRNA from 1 species